UACGGAGGUCUCAAGCGUUGUUCGGAUUCAUUGGGCGUAAAGAGCGUGUAGGCGGCUUUGCAAGUCCGUUGUGAAAACUCGAGGCUCAACCUCGAGACGCCGGUGGAAACUGCAAAGCUAGAGUCCGGAAGAGGAGAGUGGAAUUCCUGGUGUAGCGGUGAAAUGCGCAGAUAUCAGGAAGAACACCCGUGGCGAAGGCGGCUCUCUGGGACGGUACUGACGCUGAGACGCGAAAGCGUGGGGAGCGAACAGG
rnacentral:rRNA from 1 species